UUACGUUUUGCUUUUCCUUCCGUUUCCAUUCAUCCAGCUUCUCGCGUUGCCCGUUUUAAUUCUUCCACCUCUUUUAAUCACGUCGCCCGUUUUCCCCUUUAUGGCUUCCGUUUUCCACCUCCUUCUCAGAUAGAGAGCUCGAUCAGUUGUCAAAGGAGACAUCUUUGAGGUGUCUCAUCUAUUGUCUCAAACACCUUCGCAGCCGUUUCGCACUCAGCAGCGUGAAAGAGAUGGAUCCAAGGGGAUUUGUGGCUCUUCCGACAGAAGAAGCUCCUUCGCAGCACAGGCAAGGCCGCGUGGAUUGUUGGAACCAUCUACUGUGUUCGUUUAAUUCUUUCGUUUGUCUGCCUCCUCUGCGACCUGCUGAUCGCCUCCGAUCCUCUGCACACUGUGAAAUAGGGUUUGGGCGCUCAGAAUGUGGAUGAGUUACCUUCUCCUCCCUUCUCCUUAUUUCUUUUUCCCACUUCUCCUUUAUCCCCUUUUCUUCGUUUCCUUUCUUUUAUAGUGUGCAUUGCAUUGUUGUUACUGUUGCUAUUGGCGUCUUUCCACAGAUUCUUUGAUUUUUUUUCCCUGUUUCUAUUUGCAGCAUAGGAUUGGACUGGACGACUGAAUUUGAUUGGAUCAAUUCUCUUCUUGGCAGAUUUGCUGCCUCACUAAUCUGUGCUACACAACUCUGAUGUGGGAUGAACGAAUAAUGGGUUGCUGGAAAUUAAAGGUUCUUGGCUCAAUAGUAUACAAUAUAAGAUCUAUAUUGGUUUGAUAGUCGUGUUGAAUCUUAUCUUCAUGACUUCAGGGAUUUGAAGUAGUGUUGCUGGACAAAGAAACCGAGGAACACACAUUGGUUCCUGCAGUGGAGUCUUUGUCAGGAAAGGACAUUGAAGGAGCAAGGAACUUACUGAGAAUCGCAAUCCAUGUUCUUUUGGUCAGGGCAGUGAACGUGGUGACUCUGGCAUCUGAUGAUCUGCUUGGUUUUCUUCCUCACAAUGAUCCUCUUCUCAUGAAAUGCAUAGACCCCAUGGGUGCUUUAGCCAGAUCAACUAUACAUUGGGCAGAAACAACAGCAAAGGGAACAACACCGGCAUCCCUUUGAGGCUCUGAGAAUAUCCAAGCCUCUCAAGUUAGAGGCAAAGAGGAGUUCAAAAUGGGUAGAUCUUGGAUGCUUUAAACUGGAGAGAUUUCAAUUUAACAGGACUGAGGUAGGCACAAAAUAAUUCAGAGUUUGGAUAUAUGGAGAGAGCAGCAACAUCGUGGGAUAUGGAUUUAACUAUUGCCAUCAAGAAAGGAUUGGAAUUUAGUGUGUAGUACCAUCGUGAUUACCUGUUCCUGUCCUCCCCCUAAAAAAAGAGAAUUUGUUGAGCUUUUUUAUUUUUUGUAUAGCUAUUGGUUGAGAUUUAAUCAGUGUAGUAUAAUAGAAAAAUGUAAUGAUCCUUAAUAAAAACUUUUGUGUUGUAUGAUGGAUGGUGUAUCAGAGUGUAUUGAUCCUUAUUGGUGAUAUUCAAAUAUUAUUUUGCACUA